UGCGCGCGAGCGCGCCGCCAAAGAGGGUGAGAGCCCCGUCAGGCGCUGGGCCCUACACGGGCUGGCAAUCGAAGAGUCGUGUACUUUGAUACUAGUGCACCAAGCGGGAGAUAAACUUCUUCUAAGGCUAAAUAUAAGUAGGAAACCGAUAGCGAACAAGUACUGUGAAGGAAAGAUGAAAAGCACUUUGGAAAGAAAGUUAAAAGACUUGAAAUCGUUGAGGCGGACCCGGUAGAAAUGUAUUCUAGCGACGCGCUCGGGGAAGCCUGUAUUCGGGCCACUUGAGAGCUAGCCGAGACAAGAUGGAGUCGCAUCAUGCCAGAGGCGGCAUGCUUUGUAGCUUGCUAUAGAGCGCGCUGGCCGGGUGUGGCGCGGCUUGAGGGGCCUUGUGCGAUCUUGUCAAAAUGGUUUUUACCGACUCGUCUUGAAACACGAACCAAGGAGUCUAAGACUAACGCGAGUGUGGUGGUGGAGAAACCAACACGCGAAAUGAAAGUAAAUGAUGCCAAGAACCCUGCAGCAUCGACCGACUUUUUUCUCUUGGAAGAGGUUUGAGUAAGAGCGUUAUUCUUAGGA
rnacentral:rRNA from 1 species